GACGGGGGGGGCAAGUGUUCUUCGGAAUCACUGGGCGUAAAGGGCGCGUAGGUGGCACGGGUAGUCGUCGGUGAAAGCUCAGGGCUCAACCCUGAGUCGGCCGGUGAUACUCCCGAGCUCGAGUGUGGUAGAGGCCAAUGGAAUUCCGGGUGUAGCGGUGGAAUGCGUAGAGAUCCGGAAGAACACCGGUGGCGAAGGCGGUUGGCUGGGCCACAACUGACACUGAUGCGCGACAGCGUGGGGAGCAAACAGG
rnacentral:rRNA from 1 species